rnacentral:rRNA from 1 species
CCUACGGGCGGCAGCAGUAGGGAAUAUUGCUCAAUGGGGGAAACCCUGAAGCAGCAACGCCGCGUGGAGGAUGAAGGUUUUCGGAUUGUAAACUCCUUUUGUUAGAGAAGAUAAUGACGGUAUCUAACGAAUAAGCACCGGCUAACUCCGUGCCAGCAGCCGCGGUAAUACGGAGGGUGCAAGCGUUACUCGGAAUCACUGGGCGUAAAGAGCGCGUAGGCGGGUUAGCAAGUCAGAUGUGAAAUCCUAUGGCUUAACCAUAGAACUGCAUUUGAAACUGUUAUUCUAGAGUAUGGGAGAGGUAGGUGGAAUUCUUGGUGUAGGGGUAAAAUGCGUAGAGAUCAAGAGGAAUACUGAUUGCGAAGGCGGCCUGCUAGAACAUAACUGACGCUGAUGCGCGAAAGCGUGGGGAGCAAACAGGAUUAGAUACCCUUGUAGUC